rnacentral:rRNA from 1 species
CUACGGGUUGCUCCAGUGAGGAAUAUUGCACAAUGGGGGGAACCCUGAUGCAGCAACGCCGCGUGGAGGAUGACGCAUUUCGGUGUGUAAACUCCUUUUAUAUGUCAAGAAAAUGACGGUAGCAUAUGAAUAAGCACCGGCUAACUCCGUGCCAGCAGCCGCGGUAAUAGCGGAGGGUGCAAGCGUUACUCGGAAUCACUGGGCGUAAAGGACGCGUAGGCGGGUUGGAAAGUCAGGUGUGAAAUCCUACAGCUUAACUGUAGAACUGCACUUGAAACUUCUAAUCUAGAGUAUGGGAGGGGGGGAUGGAAUUAGUGGUGUAGGGGUAAAAUCCGUAGAUAUCACUAGGAAUACCUAAAGCGAAGGCGAUCUCCUGGAACAUUACUGACGCUAAGGCGUGAAAGCGUGGGGAGCAAACAGGAUUAGAUACCCUCGUAGUC